rnacentral:piRNA from 1 species
UGUGUCUCUGCCAAACCUCACAUUGAAAU